AUAUUUAAAAUAAAAUGUGCUGCUGUAGAAUAAAGAAUGGAUCAUAAACAGAAGCAGAAGUUAGAGAAAACCUCACAUCUGAUGUUCAUCUGUGGUCUCUGCAUUUCCACAUUUCUCUGCAUGUUUCACACCUUUCAAACUGUCUCUUGACACGAAGCGGAAGCGUUUCUCACAAGCUGAGUGUCAGCGUGGACGUGAGGAUGGGACACACCUUGUUUGGUGCGUUGGGGCUUUUCUCGCUGAAUAUUCUCCUCUACUGUGGACACGCUCAAGAUGCUUUGCUGCAUAUUGAGCCAAACUGGUCCCCUUUAUUUACUGGAGAGAAAGUUUCCUUCAUAUGUGACUCAGGGGAAGGAAACGACACUGACUGGAAUUACUCAUUCAGUAGUAAUGAUAAUUUCUUUACCACCAACAGAACAGUGAAUAGAUAUAAAUCAUCAUCUCUAACUAGAGGAGAUAGUGGUGAAUAUCAGUGUGUUGCUGAUCACAAGAUCCGUCCUGUUACAAGAGAAAGUAAUAAAGUCUCUCUAACUGUAUCAGGUAAGUGAUCAAAGUUUUACCAUCACGACGAGUUCAUUAAAGCACUUUUAUAUUAA